CGCGCAGGCGGCCAGGUAAGUCGAAUGUGAAAGCCCCCGGCUCAACUGGGGAGGGUCAUUCGAUACUGCUUGGCUUGAAGGUAGGAGAGGGAAGCGGAAUUUCAGGUGUAGUGGUGAAAUGCGUAGAUAUCUGAAGGAACACCAGUGGCGAAGGCGGCUUUCUGGCCUAUUCUUGACGCUGAGGCGCGAAAGCUAGGGGAGCGAAC
rnacentral:rRNA from 1 species